CUUUGUGGGGCCGUGAGUCAUUGAUGGAACUGCCUGAAGCAGUCUGUCAAUUGACCUCACUCAAAGAGCUUAUCCUCUACGAUUGCGAACAAUUAAAAGUCAUCCCAGAUGUCUCAAGGCUAAAGGGAUUACAGAAAUUGGAUCUAAGGUACUGCAAAAGGCUUGUCAAUGUUCUUGGCAUUCAAGUAAACAAAUUAUGGCAUGCCACUUCCCCCGUCAACUGAUUUCCGCUCUCUUGGUAGGGGAAACUUUUGAAAUUUAUCAAAUUAGUGGCAACUCAAAAUUUCAGAACUCGUGGGAUUGAAAAAAUGAAGAUAGAUGCAGCCCACUAGGGAAAGUGAUCUCUCUAUUUCUUUCACGUUAUAACUUAACCUUAAGAGGUCGGUGUUUGGCUUUAGGAACAUCAUGUGAGUGUUUCAUGGAUCUACCCUAAAAUAAGAGCAGAUUCAUAGAACACUUGUUUAAGAGUUUUACAAAUCUAGGCAGUUUUAUGUAACCUUAUGUAGUGUUGCUAAUGCCAAACGGUCCAUAAGAUAUCGUUUAGCAUUAGUGUCCUUUGAAUGUGCCUCAAAAAAUGAAGAAAUUCAAAAAACAUUAUAACACAAUGUGUUUCAUAAAUCCACCAUAUUUUUUUGGAUACGUUUAUGAAAUAAUAACAAUGUAUUACAGUUGCCAAACAGCGCCUAAGUAUACAAAUUUUUACAAGCAUCAACACUAAAAACGUUGCCUGCAAUAUAUUAAAGUGAAUCUUACGGAUGGGGAUAUAAUUUAUUUAUGAUCCACAAGACUUUAAAUGACAAUUGUAUAUAUAUAUUUUUUUCAUUUUGCCAACAUAAGCAGUAAUUCAAUUACAUUCUUGACUUAUUUGAGGUUGAGAGCCUUAAUUAGUUGAUGCAGUUGAGGCAGGUGAUCGGUGCUUCAUUCUGGUACAUUGUCAUUUUAUUCUUACAAAAUGCAUGCUUUUUCUCUUCUUGGGCAUAUGACCUUGACAAAUUGGAAGAACUAGAACUCUAUAAUUGUGAAAACCUCAUCACAUGUCCACUCUUUUCAAGCAAUAUGACACACUUACAUAGAUUGGAUUUUGGAGACUGUGCUAAGAUGACUAAACUUGAUCCAUCUUUUGGGCAUCUCAAGAACUUGACUGACCUGAUUUUGAGAAACUGCAAAUCAGUGAAGGAACUGCCUCAAGAAGUUUCUCAAUUGACCUCACUCAUAAGGCUUGACCUUACUGGCUGCUACCAGAUUUCUGCUCUGCCUGAACCCGUGAGACACUUGAAGCAACUGAACUGGCUGUCUCUACAGCGGUGUUCCUCGUUGACAGAAAUACCUGAAUGCAUUUGUUAUUUUCUCAAUCUUGGAAAACUAGAUGCUUCACACUGUCAAUGUAUUGCAUUUUUGCCAAACUGGAUUGAAAAGCUUGAGAGCCUGUUUGAGCUUGAUUUGAGUUGGACAGCCAUUGAAGAGCUGCCACAUUCCAUUGUGUCGCUAGAGAACCUUAAGUUCCUAUCAGUUUCUCAUUGCUAUCGGCUUAAGUUCUUGCCUUGGUUCCCACUUUCCCUCACCACACCCGAAGCAAGGGGCUGCGGAAAGCUUGGGGACGUUCCUGGCAUUAUGCAGAUGAAAUUGUCACGGAGAUUGCAACUUCGAGGAUGUAGAAGCCUUGAAGACUCAUUCUUGGAAAGACUUCAGGUAAACAUCUUGGAAAACCUUUGUUAUGUCUUUCGUCCCUUGAUAGGGGUAACUCUAAAGGUUACCAAAUUAGUGGGAGGUCACAAGCUCAAAACCCGAACCUUGCAGCAAACAAGGUCAAAGUUACAAGAUAUUCUCUUUCAAUUGAGUAGACCUUUUAGUCAUGCGGGAAUGCAGAGGGUGUUUCUGAGAAUUCCUAUUGUUCUGACUGGGAUUGUAAAGCUAAGCUUAGAUUCAAAUAUGUUUGUAAAAGUUAGUGGAUGCUUGUGGUGUUGAGAAUGACUCCUUACCAUUGUCUUUUUUUUUUCUUAUCCAAUGCUAGUGAAGCUAGUUGAAUUGUUGACAAAAUCCUCCGCAAUUUUGUUAAGAUUCCAAGGGACUGAGUUGUGUCAACCAACUAGUUCAUCCAACUUCUAGCUUUUGACAAUGGACAUGGAAGCAAAUUUUCAAGAUCUGCAACAAUUCUUCAUCGAUUUCAUGGGUUCAAUCCCGAUCCGAUUGGAGCUGACGAUAAUUUUGUUAUUGUGGAAUUUGAUUGGCCAUCUUAAGAGCAAGCCAACAUAACAUAAAG